UACGUAGGUGGCAAGCGUUGUCCGGAAUUAUUGGGCGUAAAGCGCGCGCAGGUGGUUUAAUAAGUCUGAUGUGAAAGCCCACGGCUCAACCGUGGAGGGUCAUUGGAAACUGUUAAACUUGAGUGCAGGAGAGAAAAGUGGAAUUCCUAGUGUAGCGGUGAAAUGCGCAGAGAUAUGGAGGAACACCAGUGGCGAAGGCGACUUUCUGGUCUGUAACUGACGCUGAUGUGCGAAAGCGUGGGGAUCAAACAGG
rnacentral:rRNA from 1 species